AACGAACGCUGGCGGCGUGCCUAAUACAUGCAAGUCGAACGAACGGAUAAAGAGCUUGCUCUUUUGAAGUUAGUGGCGGACGGGUGAGUAACACGUGGGUAACCUGCCUCACAGCUGGGGAUAACAUCGAGAAAUCGAUGCUAAUACCGAAUGUGCUGAACAUCAUAAGAUGUUCAAGUGAAAGACGGUUUCGGCUGUCACUGUGAGAUGGACCCGCGCUGGAUUAGCUAGUUGGUAAGGUAAUGGCUUACCAAGGCGACGAUCCAUAGCCGACCUGAGAGGGUGAUCGGCCACAUUGGGACUGAGACACGGCCCAAACUCCUACGGGAGGCAGCAGUAGGGAAUCUUCGGCAAUGGACGAAAGUCUGACCGAGCAACGCCGCGUGAGCGAAGAAGGCCUUCGGGUCGUAAAGCUCUGUUGUUAGAGAAGAACAUGGGUGAGAGUAACUGUUCACCCCUUGACGGUAUCUAACCAGAAAGCCACGGCUAACUACGUG
rnacentral:rRNA from 1 species